UAACUGUUUUAACUGCCUUUAAGGAGGUAGAGCAAAACUUUCCACUCUGUAAGUGCAUGUAAGUGCAGACCAAGCAUAAGGACUUUUUUUUUUUUCCACAAAAAGUACUGCAUGGAAAGAAAAACAGUAACUUUACAAAUACUAUCUCAAGCCAGGUGAUCAAGGUUAACAUCAACAGUGAUAAGUCAUAAUGAUAGUAUGUACCCUUCAAAUUAUAUGAUGAGAAUGCCAUCUUACCUCUCUGUCUUCCUCCCAAAAACAUACUAACCAUGAGGAAAACAUCACAUUCCAGUUAAAGGAGAUUCUACAAAAUAGGCCUGACCAGUAAUCUUCAAAAUUGUCAAGAUCACCAAAAAUCUGAAAAACAGUCACAGUCCAGGGGAGCCUAAGAAGGAUAAGAACUAAAUGUGGUCCCAGACAAGAUCCUGGAACAGAAAAUGAACACUAAGGGAAAACUAAGGAAAUAUGAACAAGGAGAUUCCAUGAAAGGAGAAAGGCUGGCACAGCUGGUUGUUCUAUGGCCACGAGGAGAAGCAUGACAAGAGAGAAGAGAUGCCACUAGAUGAAAAGAACUCUCCAGAGAAGAGUGGAGGCCCAAACUGGGAAGUUAGCUGUAGCAGCUGAUGUCACAAAGCCUGGCUGAGGACCAAAGAGAAACAGGUUCGUUUGGAAGUUCGUAUCUGAGCAGACUGGCUCAACCAGAAGUCCAGAAAAGUGUGGACCAGCUUCAACAGGACAGCACUAACACAGACUACUGCAGUCUCUGCACAGAGAGGCCUAAAGGAGAGGUCACAACAGUACUCUGCAGAUUCAUACCUCUGAAAAACUGCAACAAGUCAAAUUUUAAAAUAUUAACAAGUAACAUACGCCCGGAGCAAUUCAAACUGUCUCCCUUCCCAGCUCUCCUGGAUCAGGAUAAACAAAGACCCACUUGGGUCCACAAGUCACAAAAUGAAGCAGCAGAGGAUGGGAUGAUUGUCAACAACACCCAAUAUGAAUGAGGACUACGUCUUAGCGGCUCGGGAGAGACCCCCUCAGAUAGCAGGGCUGCCCCAAGGACGGCCUGAGCCUGAUGAAGGGAAAGGAAAGGGGCAACUGACCUCCACAGGGAAAUGGGCUGCACAGGCACCUCCCUCAGCCCCACAACCACCCUGGCACCAGGGCCAGGCGAUUAUGUUGAGGAAGUCCUGACCAAGCAAGGAGUCAAACCGGGGACUCCCCGGUCCAGAGCCCAGCUCUCUCCACUGUGGCCUCUAGAGGGGAGGACCCUGCCUUAUCCUGGGCUCAGGCAGCUGAGGAGAGAGGCUGAGUAAAAAGGAAAAGAUCAUGAAUGACUGUUCACUGUAGGAGAAAGGCUAGAUGUACACUGCACCUAUUUAAUAAGCCCUCAGGUGAUGAGAGGAUUAACAGCUGCAAAGAAUGCCAAAUCCUCUCAGGAUGGUUAGUGGUUAAGGAGACAGGUAAAUUGCUAAUAUUACAUGAACAAGGGUGAUUCCAACUGGUUAGAAAGCAGGGUGAGCUCAUUGUGAAGAAGCGAUUUGUCAUUUCCACCACAAACCUUCAUGCGGUUAAAUGCCUCUCCAGGGAGGCAGAGACUUAGUGCAGCAGGAGGAGAGAGUAAGGAACAGCAGCUGCCCCAUUAUUUUUUACAUUCAUUAAAUGCAAAAGGGCUGGGUGGUGAACAGAAUACCCAGAGGCAGCAGGGCUCCGCUCAGUAGUUUUCAACCUGGACCUGAUGGAUUCACCAGAUUCAGCCACAGGGCACCCGCAUUAGUAGGCGAGGAGCUUCCACCCAGCAAAGGAUCCUGACCAAAAGGGCUUGAGUUGCCAAUUCUAGCUGCCUUCUGGGCCCAGUCACCAUGCAACAAGGAUGUAGAGAGGAGGUACAGGUGUCCACUGGGUAUAUACUAAGGGCCAGGCACGGUGCUAAGGACGUGACACCCAUUAUUGCCUUUACUUCUAACAGGAUUAACAUUGUCCAUUUUACAAAAGAAUUGACAGUUGAGUAAUUCACCCCUUUGCUGUCAAGAUGAGUGUCAGAGUCCCUGCCUUCAAAAAGACAAAUACACUGUGAUGCCUGCAGAAACAAAGGUCUCUCUAGAGUAUAAUGGUAACACAAAAGAAGAGAAAACUACUCUGCCGACAUCAGGGAAAGCUUCUAGAAGGGAUGAAAGCUCAAAUAGGCUCUGGAAGAUAAGCAGAAGUUGGGCUGAGGUUGGAAGAGACAGGCUUCAGCCGCAAUGGGAAGGGAGUGCUUUCCAGGUAGAAGGAAGAGCAGGAAUAGAAGUGGCCUCAACAGGACAUACUCAGGGCACAAGGCACAGUGGACCUAUAAUAUGCUGCUGUGGCCUCAGGUGCCAGGCAGAAUGCCAUGUGCCUUGCUCUGAGUUCAGACUCCAGCCUGGAAUCACCACAUGGUUUUAAGCAGGACAAUGCCUACAGAAUCAUCCUUACACAGACGAGCCAGGCAGCAGUGUGGAGGAUGGUGGGAGGGCACAGCCAAAGGCAUGGUGGCAGUCUGGAGGGCACUGCAGCUGUCUAUGAAACACAACAGUCUGGGGCUGCACUGGUAGGAAGGAAUAGGGAGAGACACGAUUGAAAAAUAUUUAAGAGGCACAUCUGUAAGGGUGACCUAAGCCAGGGAUAGUGACAGAGAAGAAAGGUGACCCUGAGGUUUCCAGCUUACAUUCUUGAGUGGUCAAGAUGUCUUUCCAAGAGAUAAGGAAAUAUGAAAAACAAGUGCAUGUUCUUUUUCAGGGCAAAAAGGAGAGACUGCAGAAAUGAUAACUUCAGUUUUUUGACAUAUUGAAUUUAAGGUGCCUUUGGGAUAUCCAAAUGGGAGUGUCACACAGAAUAUACAAGUCUCAACCUCCAAAAAGAGUUUCAUAAAAUCAAAUAAUGGCCUUAUUUACAUCUAGUGACAUACACUGCCUGGCAGUGUUCCCAGACUAGAGAAAGGCACGAUCAGGGACACAGACAAUGCUGCCUGGACUGACAUUUGGUUAAACAGGGACAGUCGGCAUGUUCUUGUAGGAUCUCUGAGCCAGACGUAAGCAGACUGGAGUCUUGCCUUGGUUCCAUACCACAACCAUACCACGUUCAAGCUUAGAAGUGAAUCCUAGAUUCCCCACUUACCACCUCUGCGAGCUAUGGCAAGUUAUUUAACCUCUUGCUACCUCAGUUUCCUCAUCUGGACAAUGGGAUAAUUAUUACACCUACACCACACAGAGUUCUUAUAAGGAUGAAGUAACAAAUCUUGUUAAGUGCUUUGCAUGGAGCCUGACACAGUAACAGCACAUAGUGCAGUCUGUACUCAAUUCUGGUUAAUGUUGAUAAGAACAACAAUAUAAUUAGUUUGAGGAAGUCUUUUUUUUUUUUUGACAGAGUUUCGCUCUUGUUACCCAGGCUGGAGUGCAAUGGUGCAAUCUUGGCUCACCACAACCCCUGCCUCCUGGGUUCAGGCAGUUCUCCUGCCUCAGCCUCCUGAGUAGCUGGGAUUACAGGCAUGCGGCACCAUGCCCAGCUAAUUUUGUAUUUUUAGUAGAGACAGGGUUUCUCCAUGUUGGUCAGGCUGGUCUUGAACUCCCAACCUCAGGUGAUCUGUUCGCCUUGGCCUCCCAAAGUGCUGGGAUUACAGGUGUGAGCCACCACACCAGGCAAGGGAGUCAUUUUCUUUAUGUGACCCUUACCUGUAAAAUAAGGAUAACGCCUGCUUUUUAUGGGAUUAUUGAAGACUAACAUUAGGUGACAGUGGAUAUGAAAAUUCACUUAACCAACUAGAAAGUGCUUCAUAAGUGAGAAAUCAGGGCCUUUCAGCAGGAAUCAAAGAGGUUUGCCCUCCCAGCAGAUCCGAUCGUCAGUGUGUGCUGCCAUGGCUUUCCAUCCUUGUCCUAUAAUAUGCUGCUUUUGGCUCCAAGAGGAAACUUGCCACACACCAGACCCUGUGUCAUGUGCUGAGUACCAAAAGGUCACAGAAGGGAAUACUAUUCAGCCAUAAAAAGGAAUAAACUUUUGACACAUGCCACAGCAUGGAUGUACCUUAGAAACAUUAUGCUUAGUGAAAUAAGCCAGACACACAAGGACAAAUAUAUGAGAUUUCACUUACAUGAGGUUUCUAGGCUAGGCAAAUUCAUAGAGAUGGAAGAUGGAACAGAGGUUACCAAGGGCUAGGGGAAAACAGAGCUAUUGUUUAAUGGGUACAGAGUUCAUCUUAGGAAGGAUGAAAAACAUUGGGGUAUACAUAGUGGUGAUGGAUACAAAGUAUUGUGAAUGUAUUUAAUGCCACUGAGUUGUACACUUACAAGUGAUUAAAAUGAUAAUUAUGUUGUGUGUGUGCAUAUACAUAUGUGUGCCAUAGAAGUCAUCAAAACAAAGAGUAGAUGCUCAAUGCAACCUGUUCCCAACACCAAGAACAUGAACCAAAGGGUCCCUAAAGGGUGGUUAGUGUAGUAGCGAGGAACUGACAUUCUGCAUAUCAUCCUAUUACAAUGGAUAAACACUGUUGGCUUCAGAGGACUCCCAAAUAUGAGGUGUGUCAGUGCAAGAAACUGUGGACUGAGCUGGGCAAUAUCAAAUCCUCCCGUGGAAACUCAAUAACAUCAUUUCUUACUCUUGAGCAUAAAUGACUGUAAUAAAGCAAAGCACCUUAUUU